UACGGAGGAUCCAAGCAUUGUCCGGAUUUAUUGGGUUUAAAGGGUGCGUAGGCGGCCUUUUAAGUCAGUGGUGAAAGUUUGCGGCUUAACCGUAAAAUUGCCAUUGAAACUGAAAGGCUUGAGUAUGGUUGAGGUGGGCGGAAUGUGUCAUGUAGCGGUGAAAUGCUUAGAUAUGACAUAGAACACCAAUUGCGAAGGCAGCUGGCUACACAAAUAUUGACACUGAGGCACGAAAGCGUGGGGAUCAAACAGG
rnacentral:rRNA from 1 species